rnacentral:pre_miRNA from 1 species
AAUGGGUAGCUGGGUUAAAUGGUGGUUCCAGUCCAAGUUUUCUGAGGAAUUUCCAUACUGCUUUCCAUAAUGGUUGCACCAAUUUGUAGUCCCACCAGCAAU